ensembl:lncRNA
UAUAUAAAGAGAGAUCAUCAUCACAUUAUUAAUUUUAAAACAUUUUGACGUUGUGACACAGACAGAAUUAAGCCCCUCCUCCCCGUGUCUGUAGUCCUUGUGAUUGGCUACAAUAUGCAUAGAUACAGGGAUCAGCUUUAUGGUUCAGUCCCACUGACGUCACACACACACACACACACACACACACACACACACACACACACACACACACACACACACACACUGGGAGGACAGUGGCGAGGAGGAGGAGGAAGCACGCCGAUUUCUCUACCUUUUCGUAAGACAGCAUUUUUGGGGGGGGGUGAAACCGCUGAGCUCUUCCAAGCAGGUACAAACUAACUCACACAACCAGAAGUCGUUUCAGUGCUAGAAGAUGGAUGCAUCCGACAAGGAGAGAAUCUGGGGAGACACUGGCUCCAUUUCAGGUCUAACCAGAACCACACCAGAACCACGGGUCAGGACACUGACCGACCCCACACCAGAUCUACGGUCAGGACACUGACCGACCCCACACCAGAUCUACAGUCAGGACACUGACCGACCUACACCAGAUCUACAGUCAGGACACUGACCGACCUACACCAGAUCUAGUCAGGACACUGACCGACCCCACUCCAGAUCAGAACAUGGUUCCCAGAGUUUCAGCAUCGUCUUCGUCCUCUAUAGAGUUGUGGUAUAGAUUUUUUUCAUUUUUUAACAUUUAUUUAUUUAUUUUUAUAUUUUUUUUCUAGCGAUUUUAUUUAAUUUUAAUAGUUUUUUUGGUAUUUUUUUUAUUUUAUUUUAUUUUUUAAAAUUGUUUUUAAAAUGAAGGAAGAUGACCAUCCACCUGUCGCCCUCCUAAGGGCCUGUAAACAAGAGGCCGUCUCCAUAACAACCGGAAGCCGUCGCCACAACAACCGGAGGCCGUCGCCAUAACAAAAAGAGGCCGUCGCCAUAACAACCGGAGGCCGUCGCCAUAACAACCGGAGGCCGUCGCCACAACAACCGGAGGCUGCAUCCAUCACAACAAUAGGCUGGUCUCUAAACAACAUGUUCUGCCCCUGUUGUCAUAGUGCCGUCCCCCCGUCCCCCCCCCCAGUCUGGCAGGGCGGGGCUCCAGUCACAGCUGAGAUCCUUUACACUGCAGAGACUCACGUUCUCUACUUUUAAAACACAACGUUGGUGCAAAUACUUCUGUCUUUAAACAUCAAAAACGAGCCAUAAAUCAGCAUCUCUAUAUCGUUAAACUGCUUCUCCACAAUACCACCGGAAGGUAUUUGUGCCAAGGCAGAGAGGAGAGCACACACACACACACACACACACACACACACACACACACACACACACACACACAGUAAGAACGUCCUUGAGUAAACAGCUACAUUGGAACUGGCAGCUCCCUCUGUAUUGCAGAUUAAACACAGAGAAAAAUAACGUUUCAGUGCAAAGUGGAAGAAAAACAACAACAUGACAAUAAAACAACGAAAUAAAACACAGAAAUGAUUGGAAUUCCAAUAACAGGGACCAUGAAUGAAAUAGACACAAGCUUUUUGUUUAGUUUUUUAGGUUUCAGUUUUGAAGCAUAAUAAGGCAUUUUUUGCUGUCCUUCACAUUAUAGAAUUGUCCUGCGUGAUUCAAGUAUACCAACUGAUAUGUGUGUUGUUUAGGAGCGGAAAAACACCGUGGAUAUAUGUGCAGGGAAAAAAACAUAACGCAUUUUCCACAGGGGGGUGACCCCCCACUUCCUGUACGUAUU